AACGCGCUGGACAAAAAUUUCAUGUAAGUUCUAACUUUUCACGUACAGCUCUCUCUCUCUCAAACACUCACUGUCACGACCCUUUCAGAAAACCCUCUCUCCCUCUCUCAAACACCAUCUCCAUUGCGCCAUCUUGGUUACGAGCUCGCCAUCCGAGUCAUAGAUCGAGCCAUCCAGGUCACAGAUCUCGCCGUCCAGGUCACUGAGGUCGCCAUCUUGGUUUCAAUAUCGCGCUAACUCUCUAGCUAUCUUCACUCUGGCUCUCUCGAAAGCCCUCUCUUGCCGACGCUCUCUUUCUUGUUGUCUCUUUCUCUAGCUCACAGAUCCACAAGAUGGAGAGGGAGGUUCUGGAUCUGAGAAUCAAGAGAUGUUUGGAUGUGGUGAAGAUCUCGACCUUCACUUUCUUCAAAGAAGAUCUCGCUCUCAGGCACUCAACUUGCUCAUCAAACUCAGCGACUCGAUCCAGAAAGACUUAUGGAAAUCGCCGUCCCACAAGGCCUUCGUAAUCAAGAAGAAGCUGACGAAGAAGAUGAGGCAAAACAGACCCAUCCCUCACUAGAUCCGUUUGAGGACCGACAACAUCAUCAGUCUUGGGGUUAACUUGAAUAGUAACUGUAGUUUUGAAAAAACCCCUUGCAAUUCCAUUACAAACUGGGGCUAUAGUAGAAGGGUCCUUGGGUUUGGUUCUAAAAGCUUCUGCAUUGUUCAGAAGAAGGGAAGAGCUCCUCUGGUAAGAAAUCUUGGAUCUCUGGCUGUUUGGUUUUCAUCUUCAUGCUGCCUUUUUCUUUAGUCUUAUUGCUUGGUGAAAUCAUUUAAACGUACAUCUGAUUAUUGGCCAAUCGAUAUCUUUGUCAAUCUCUAUUUAUCCUCAUUGAUGAGUAUUAAUUUAAAGGAUCUACCAGUGGAGAGUACUUAAAGGAUCGGGAUACUAAGAUAAAUUUGACUCUUCUUGCUAGUUUGGCUCAGAAGAAGGGAAGGUAUGCUUUUGAAGGUUCCACCAGAAGAGCAGAAGCUUGCAGUCAUUCAACUGUGGUGAAUCUUAUUUUUAUGUUUUUGGAUCAAUUGACAUAUCUAGACUGGGUUGUAGAGUCAUCUAGGUUUGUUUUUU